AGAAUGUCUACCCAAUGACCGUACAACCAUUGUAUCUUGGAAAAAAAUUAUUCGUUUUUGGUUUUACAGGCUCAUAGCUAGAAGGAACUUGCUUUGAGUCUCAGACUUUGAACCGUUAAGUUGGUGCUGGAACAAGUUAAGAAUUUUAGGGACUAUUGGAAUUGUAUUUUGCAUGAGAAAGAUGAUUGUAUUUUGCAUGUGAGAAGGAUGAGAUCUGGGGGGUCAGGGAUGGAAUGCCAUGGUUUGGAUCUUUGACCCCUCCAAAUCUCACACUGAAAUUUAAUCCCCAAGGUUGGAGGUGGGAACUAAUAGGAGGUGUUUUGGUCAUGGAAGCAGAUCCCUCAUGAAUGCUUGGUGCCAUCCUCACAGUAAUGAGUGACUCCUCACUCUAUUAGCUCCCGCUAGAGCCGGUUGUUAAAAAGAGCCUGGCACCCCACACCCCACCCCACCUCUUGCUUCCUCUCUCACCAUGUAAUCUCUGCAUACACUAGCUCCAUGAGUGGAAGCCUAAAGCUUUCAGCAGAAGCAGAUGCUGGUGCCAUGCUUCUUGUACAGCCUUCAGAACCAUGAACCAAAUAAACCUCUUUUCUUUAUAAAUUACCCAGCCUCAGGUAUUCCUUUAUAGCAACACAAACAGAUGAAGACAACUUUCAUAUCUUUAUAUCUGCAGCAGCACCAAAACAAGCCUUGGACACUGCAGACAUGCAGUGAAGAUGUGUUCUGCUAAUGGAAAAAGUAAGUCAACAGUUUUGAAACCCCACUAGAUGAAGGCAUGUGGGAGGUAACAGGCUGAAAAUGAGAUUUCUAUCUUAAAGUAGUUCAUAAUCUCAAGACAAAAGAUAUGAAAUUACUUAUACAAUCAACAGGGACUGCAUACAUGUAAAUACAGAGGAAGUUCCUGGAAUGGCUGCAUUUAUCAGGAUUAGGCUGAGAACACUGAGACUCACCUUAAAAGGAAUAAGAAUUGUGAGGCCAUUCAGCCACAAAUAAUUACUCCAAAGAGGUACAAGGCAACAGUAUUCAAAAAACAGCAAGAACAUCUCCAAGAGUGCAGUAAAGAACAGCAUCAUUAGCCAAUGGGGGUGAGCUUUUAAGAGUGGCUGGCAGAGGGCCUGGAGACAGCAAUGCAAAGCCAGAGCCUGAGCUUCUUUAAAGCCUAUUUAAUAAGGUUCCCACUUUGGAAAAGGAGUGUGUCAAGAACCGAUGGGAGGGGAAGGCUAGAAUAAGAAGCCUGACAAUACGUACUAGAGAUACACAGCAGACAGGACACCCUGGCUGUCCGCACUAUUCUCAAGCGGGAAUUUGGGACAACCCAUUUAAGAGCCCAUCUUGGCACAAAUGCCAUGAUAGCCCCAAGUGCCAGAGCAGUGGCAUUUGAAUCUGAAAUCUCUUCUUAGAGUAAGACUAUUUAUUUCUCUCUGUCUCAUAAGGCUCACCACAGUCUGUAUAACAAAAUGACUUACAGCAACUGCUGAGAUCUGGGUUCAGAUCUCAGUUCUGACACUCAUUAGAUGUACGACCUCAGGGAACAUAUUUAACCUUACUUAGCCAGGGAUAAAUGGGGAUACUUAUUAUACCUGUCUCUUAGGUAGGGAUAUACAAAAUGCUUAGCAGAGUGAAUAGCUCAGUAAGUUCUCAGCCAAUAUUAUUAAGAAAACAUACAAUAAGGUAUGGAUUUUCAGACCCCUUGCAUUAACACCACAGUGCUCCAGAGAUCCUUGAUACUCAAGUUGGGAGUCACUGUCCUGGAAUACAAAUAAAAAACAUAAAAGAGCAGUAAAUUCCAUCUGCAAGUGUUUAUGUGGUAGCUACAGAAUUCAGCACUAUGCUAGGGGUACAGAAGCCAAUGCAACACCAAAUGAGGAGACAAUGCAGAGGGCAGAUGCCGGAGGGAAGAAAGAAACACUGGGGCAGAGAUUCAACCCAACCUGAAAGCCAUGCAGGUGUUUUAAGUUGGAAAUGAAAUGAGGAACCAAAAAAUUCCAGUCAGGGAGUGGUCUGCUGAGUGUGGUGCUUCAGGUAGACUCCCAUGACAGGCUGCAGGACAAACUAGAGUGGGGGCCCACUUCCAUACCUUCCUGGCCACUCAGUUCCAGCCAAAUGACUGCUCUUAAAAGUCAAAAUUAGGUUCCAUUUCUAAUCUGCACUGAUUCAUACUGCUGGUCGUGUAAAUUGGUAUAGGCCACACCAACACAGCACAUUAGUUAAGAUGUUAAUCUUAACUAAUUUCCGGACAAUACUAAAAUAAAAUCUCUACUUUCCAGAGAUUAGGUAAACUUGGUAAACAUUUGAGCUUCAGGUCCAGUCUGACAAAAUGGAAAAAAGGGAAUCAUCUGCAGAAAGGUCCCAGCAUUAGAAAACAAAGAGAAGGGGGAGGACAGUAUGUAGGCCCUGACCUGUCUUACUGCCUCAAUUCAAGGAUUCAAUUUCUCAACCUCAGAUCCUUGCCCUCUUACUAGUUUUCAAACUCAGAUCCACCUCUUACUAGUUUUCAAACUCUUGUCUAUUAUGAUUACCUUAAGCAAAGCAAGAUGCAUGAAUAACCAGCAGUAAAUCAGGUAUUCAAUACUUGAAAUUGUGUAAUAUUCUGUGACUGUGCAUCUGGCCAAUUUCAACUUCUCCUUCUUUUUUUUUUUUUUUUUUUUUUUUUUUUUUUUUGAGGCAGGAUCUCACUCUCUUGCCCCAGGCUGGAGUACAGUGGUACCAUCAUUGCUCACUGCAGCAGCCUCAGACUCCCGGACUCAAGUGAUCCUCCUGCCUCAGCCUCCUGAGUAGCUAGCACUACAGGUGAGCACCAACAUGCCUGCCUCAUUUUUUAAAUUUUUUUGUAGAGACAACGUCUCAAUAUGUUGCCCAGGCUGGUCUCAAACUCCUGGCCUCACCUCGAGCAAUCCUUCCACCUCUGCACACCGAAGUGCUGAGAUUUCAAGUAUGAGCCGCUGCCUCCUGCCCACUUAGCCCUUUCUAACACUAGAGAACUUUGAGAGUGGUUUCAAUACCAACUGGACACUUCCCAGCGGUUUAACCUCAGGCAAAUCAAACUCCCAUGCCUCAGUUUCCACAUAUAUAGAGAUAAUAAAAGUACCUCCUCAAAGAGUUUGUUAUGAGAACUAAAUGAGUUAAUGUUAGGCAAGCGACUGGAACAUGAUAGACACAAUAUGUAUUAGCCAUUAUCACCUUUAUCUCAGUGUUAUAUUGGCCACCACCCAGAGAUACCCAGGAGCACACACAUCACAUUCUUUCUACAGCAAUAUGUGGGCACGAUUACUUCAUGACCACUGAAUCUAAAACAGCACAGCUUGGUAAGACACAGCGGUCGGAUCCCACCUACUGCAACACCUCUAAGAGGCGACCCUCACAAACCAGCCAUGCUUAGCCUGAGACAUUCCGAAGACCUCCUCUUGAUUACCUUACUCGACGAACUUAUUCCUUUGAAAAUGGAACUAGCCGCACUUUUGGACCAGUGUGCCUCGGAUACACUUCCAAAUGUGUCAACCUGAAUCUCAGAAGUUGGCGUGAUUUUAAAAAGUUUUUUAAGUUCUUUUUCCUAAACAUGUCCUAGUAGGUGACUCCACAGCAUUACUUUCUUUCAUGUUCUCUUUUCUAUCUGGAAAUCCGGUGAUAGGGGACGAAACCAGCAAAGCACCCUUUUUCUUGCUUCCCAAACGUUAGCAGGUAAGCGCCCCUUGAGCCGAGACACAUCAAGAAGACCUCACCCGCAAGUUCAUUGAUCACCGGUUCUUUUCCCUUUCCGGCACUAGGAGCUGCGAAGCACGACAUGGGCUUGGAGGAAGAGACGCUGCGGUCACCUGAGGGGCAGGUGAGAGCGGGCGGUCCUGCCCGGGUGUGAGCGCGACAUCCCGCGCGGCACACACGCUCACAGCCCCCAGAGAAAGACCAGAGGCGCUCGAUGUAUCCCGCACACCCCACACGCAACACACUAACUGCACCGUACCUUCCGUCCCACCUCCCGGCAGCAGACCCCUUCCGGGACGCCGAGAGGGCUGUUCCUGGAGAGACCGCAGCCCACGAGUAGCGGCGCGUAGGGAGAGCACGCGUGCCCAGGCUGCCUCGGCCGGCGCGCCCCCGCCCCCGCACUCACCUGGCCUGUGAUACCGGUGAUGAGCGCCACGUUCCUGGGCUUGCCCAUCUCGCCGUCCCCGGAGCCCCGGGCGCGGUGCCGGCAGGAACGCGGGG
rnacentral:lncRNA from 1 species